UACGUAGGGGGCAAGCGUUGUCCGGAAUCAUUGGGCGUAAAGAGCGCGUAGGCGGCCCUGUAAGUCCGCUGUGAAAGUCAAGGGCUCAACCCUGGGAUGCCGGUGGAUACUGUCGGGCUCGAGUCCGGAAGAGGCGAGUGGAAUUCCUGGUGUAGCGGUGAAAUGCGCAGAUAUCAGGAGGAACACCAAUGGCGAAGGCAGCUCGCUGGGACGUGACUGACGCUGAGACGCGAAAGCGUGGGGAGCAAACAGG
rnacentral:rRNA from 1 species